rnacentral:rRNA from 1 species
UGGGGAAUUUUGGACAAUGGGGGAAACCCUGAUCCAGCCAUCCCGCGUGUGCGAUGAAGGCCUUCGGGUUGUAAAGCACUUUUGGCAGGAAAGAAACGUCGCGGGUUAAUACCCCGCGAAACUGACGGUACCUGCAGAAUAAGCACCGGCUAACUACGUGCCAGCAGCCGCGGUAAUACGUAGGGUGCAAGCGUUAAUCGGAAUUACUGGGCGUAAAGCGUGCGCAGGCGGUUCGGAAAGAAAGAUGUGAAAUCCCAGAGCUUAACUUUGGAACUGCAUUUUUAACUACCGGGCUAGAGUGUGUCAGAGGGAGGUGGAAUUCCGCGUGUAGCAGUGAAAUGCGUAGAUAUGCGGAGGAACACCGAUGGCGAAGGCAGCCUCCUGGAUAACACUGAGCUCAUGCACGAAAGCGUGGGGAGCAAAACAGGAUUAGAUACCCUGGU